GGUUAAGCGACUAAGCGUACACGGUGGAUGCCCUGGCAGUCAGAGGCGAUGAAGGACGUGCUAAUCUGCGAAAAGCGUCGGUAAGGUGAUAUGAACCGUUAUAGCCGGCGAUGUCCGAAUGGGGAAACCCAGUGCAAUUCGUUGCACUAUCGUUAACUGAAUACAUAGGUUAACGAGGCGAACCGGGGGAACUGAAACAUCUAAGUACCCCGAGGAAAAGAAAUCAACCGAGAUUCCCCCAGUAGCGGCGAGCGAACGGGGAGCAGCCCAGAGUCUGAAUCAGCUUGUGUGUUAGUGGAACGGUCUGGAAAGUCCGACGGUACAGGGUGAUAGUCCCGUACACCAAAAUGCACAGGCUGUGAACUCGAAGAGUAGGGCGGGACACGUGGUAUCCUGUCUGAAUAUGGGGGGACCAUCCUCCAAGGCUAAAUACUCCUGACUGACCGAUAGUGAACCAGUACCGUGAGGGAAAGGCGAAAAGAACCCCGGCGAGGGGAGUGAAAAAGAACCUGAAACCGUGUACGUACAAGCAGUGGGAGCACCUUCGGGUGUGACUGCGUACCUUUUGUAUAAUGGGUCAGCGACUUAUAUUCUGUAGCAAGGUUAACCGUAUAGGGGAGCCGCAGGGAAACCGAGUCUUAACUGGGCGUUAAGUUGCAGGGUAUAGACCCGAAACCCGGUGAUCUAGCCAUGGGCAGGUUGAAGGUUGGGUAACACUAACUGGAGGACCGAACCGACUAAUGUUGAAAAAUUAGCGGAUGACUUGUGGCUGGGGGUGAAAGGCCAAUCAAACCGGGAGAUAGCUGGUUCUCCCCGAAAGCUAUUUAGGUAGCGCCUCGUGAACUCAUCUUCGGGGGUAGAGCACUGUUUCGGCUAGGGGGUCAUCCCGACUUACCAACCCGAUGCAAACUACGAAUACCGAAGAAUGUUAUCACGGGAGACACACGGCGGGUGCUAACGUCCGUCGUGAAGAGGGAAACAACCCAGACCGCCAGCUAAGGUCCCAAAGUCAUGGUUAAGUGGGAAACGAUGUGGGAAGGCACAGACAGCCAGGAUGUUGGCUUAGAAGCAGCCAUCAUUUAAAGAAAGCGUAAUAGCUCACUGGUCGAGUCGGCCUGCGCGGAAGAUGUAACGGGGCUAAACCAUGCACCGAAGCUGCGGCAGCGACACUAUGUGUUGUUGGGUAGGGGAGCGUUCUGUAAGCCUGUGAAGGUGACCUGUGAGGGUUGCUGGAGGUAUCAGAAGUGCGAAUGCUGACAUAAGUAACGAUAAAGCGGGUGAAAAGCCCGCUCGCCGGAAGACCAAGGGUUCCUGUCCAACGUUAAUCGGGGCAGGGUGAGUCGACCCCUAAGGCGAGGCCGAAAGGCGUAGUCGAUGGGAAACAGGUUAAUAUUCCUGUACUUGGUGUUACUGCGAAGGGGGGACGGAGAAGGCUAUGUUAGCCGGGCGACGGUUGUCCCGGUUUAAGCAUGUAGGCUGAUUGUCCAGGCAAAUCCGGAUAAUCAAGGCUGAGGUGUGAUGACGAGGCACUACGGUGCUGAAGUAACAAAUGCCCUGCUUCCAGGAAAAGCCUCUAAGCAUCAGGUAACAUCAAAUCGUACCCCAAACCGACACAGGUGGUCAGGUAGAGAAUACCAAGGCGCUUGAGAGAACUCGGGUGAAGGAACUAGGCAAAAUGGUGCCGUAACUUCGGGAGAAGGCACGCUGGUGUGUAGGUGAAGCCCCUGCGGGUGGAGCUGAGACCAGUCGAAGAUACCAGCUGGCUGCAACUGUUUAUUAAAAACACAGCACUGUGCAAACACGAAAGUGGACGUAUACGGUGUGACGCCUGCCCGGUGCCGGAAGGUUAAUUGAUGGGGUUAUCCGUAAGGAGAAGCUCUUGAUCGAAGCCCCGGUAAACGGCGGCCGUAACUAUAACGGUCCUAAGGUAGCGAAAUUCCUUGUCGGGUAAGUUCCGACCUGCACGAAUGGCGUAAUGAUGGCCAGGCUGUCUCCACCCGAGACUCAGUGAAAUUGAACUCGCUGUGAAGAUGCAGUGUACCCGCGGCAAGACGGAAAGACCCCGUGAACCUUUACUAUAGCUUGACACUGAACAUUGAGCCUUGAUGUGUAGGAUAGGUGGGAGGCUUUGAAGCGUGGACGCCAGUCUGCGUGGAGCCAACCUUGAAAUACCACCCUUUAAUGUUUGAUGUUCUAACGUUGGCCCCUUACCGGGGUUGCGGACAGUGUCUGGUGGGUAGUUUGACUGGGGCGGUCUCCUCCCAAAGCGUAACGGAGGAGCACGAAGGUUAGCUAAUCCUGGUCGGACAUCAGGAGGUUAGUGCAAUGGCAUAAGCUAGCUUGACUGCGAGCGUGACGGCGCGAGCAGGUGCGAAAGCAGGUCAUAGUGAUCCGGUGGUUCUGAAUGGAAGGGCCAUCGCUCAACGGAUAAAAGGUACUCCGGGGAUAACAGGCUGAUACCGCCCAAGAGUUCAUAUCGACGGCGGUGUUUGGCACCUCGAUGUCGGCUCAUCACAUCCUGGGGCUGAAGUAGGUCCCAAGGGUAUGGCUGUUCGCCAUUUAAAGUGGUACGCGAGCUGGGUUUAGAACGUCGUGAGACAGUUCGGUCCCUAUCUGCCGUGGGCGCUGGAGAAUUGAGGGGGGCUGCUCCUAGUACGAGAGGACCGGAGUGGACGCAUCACUGGUGUUCGGGUUGUCAUGCCAAUGGCACUGCCCGGUAGCUAAAUGCGGAAGAGAUAAGUGCUGAAAGCAUCUAAGCACGAAACUUGCCCCGAGAUGAGUUCUCCCUGAGACUAUAAGUCUCCUGAAGGAACGUUAAAGACGAUGACGUUGAUAGGCCGGGUGUGUAAGCGCAGCGAUGCGUUGAGCUAACCGGUACUAAUGAACCGUGAGGCUUAACCUU
rnacentral:rRNA from 1 species